GCGCGUAUAGCUCAAUCGGUAGAGCGGGCGGCUCAUAAUCGACAGGUUGCAGGUUCGAUCCCUGCUACGCGCA
rnacentral:tRNA from 1 species